UUUUAUACAGGCUGCCGACCGAGAUGGAUGUAAGCUGGCAGACACUGUUUGACCAGGAAGAGUAAACUUGGAUAUUGUCGCCAUUUUCAGUUGAAGGCCUUUAUAAGAACAUGAGUAAAAGUAUCUGACCAUGGACAAGCGCUGGGCCCAGGAUGUGUUACGGUGUUGUCUCUGUAAGACCGUGGGCCCCCCUAUGUACUGUGACAUUUGUCACAUACAUCUGUGUAAAGCCUGUGUGGGGGAACAUCUCUCUGAUCAAUCCAAAGAACACAAAGUGCUGCCAUUUAAAAAUAGAGGAUCUACUCCGAAAUGUCCAAAACAUUCCUCAAACAUAAGUGUACUUUACUGUGACCAUUGUGACAUUCCUAUUUGUACAACAUGUGCUACCUCUAAAGAACACCAUGGCCACAAAUUUAUUAAAAUAACAAAAAAAAUUGACAGCAAGAAAGAAAUCAUUCAAAAAGAUUUACAAGAACUAGAGAAAUCCAUUUAUCCUAAAUACCAAGAUAUUGCAUCCAUUAUCCCAGUCCAGAAAUCUGCUAUGAAUGAAAACUCACAGAAAUUAACAUCAGAAAUUGACAAACAUGGAGAAGUCUUGCACAGAGAAAUAAACACUAUUAUCAGAAACUUGAAAUCUGAUCUCAAUGAAACAGACUCCAAACACCUGGCCAUCCUUAAUGAACAGGAAAAUGAAAUUAAACACACCAUUUCUGAAAUCACACAGACCAUUUCUGAACUAAAGACGUUACUGGACUCUAAUGAUGUCAGCCUUGUCUCUGUCUACAAAUCCAGAAAUGAUGAAUUCAGAAGAUUGUCUCCUAAACUCACAGUCUCCUUACCAAGUUUUACCCCUAUGCAGAUCAACAAAGAACAGCUUUACCAACAGUUUGGUUCUCUGUCAGCGUCAUCUAUAAAAACAGAAAAACAAGUCUACACCAUGGAUUCCCACGGUGCUGAGUCCUUUCCCCCGGACAGACCGCUCAUUGAUGUACCACGGAUCAUCACACAGAUAAACACCGAGUAUGGAGUCUCCAAUAGAUUAUACAGUGUGUCCUGCCUGAUGGAUGAAGAACUAUGGACGUGUGGUCAACACAGCAAGAUGAGACUCUACAACCUGGAUGGAAAACUAGUGACGUCAGCCAAAACCAAGUCAGGGAACAGACCACGGGACAUAGCAGUGACAAGGAGUGGGGAUCUAGUUUAUACUGAUUACAGAGAUAGAACUGUGAACAUAAUUAAGAAUACACAGAUACAGACAGUGAUCAGACGACGGGGGUGGAGACCUCUCUGUGUCUGUAGUACCUCCUCUGGUGACCUCCUGGUUGUCAUGGACAGUGAUGAUUAUAAACAAACAAAAGUUGUGUGUUACUCUGGCUCCACAGAGAAACAAAGUAUUCAAUUAGACGACAAAGGACACCCUCUCUAUUCAUCUGGUACCACUAAAUAUAUCAGUGAGAACAGAAACCGAGAUAUCUGUGUGUCAGAUUGGGGAUCCCGUGCAGUAGUGGUGGUCAAUGAGGCCGGGAAACUCCGGUUUACCUACACUGGUCAUCCCUCUAGUACCAAGGGAUCGAUGAUUCCAUACGGCAUCACAACAGACAGCCAGGGUCGGAUCCUGACAGUAGACAGUUCCUAUAACAACCACCGUAUUCAUAUCCUGGAUCAGGACGGACAGUUCCUUCGCUACAUUAACAACUGUCAUUUACAGAAUCCACAAGGUUUAUGUGUGGACACCAGAGACAACCUCUUUGUGGCUGAGUACGACACAGGUAAAGUGAAGAAAAUACAAUAUGUGUAGAACAUUACACAGAACUGUAGCAUUGUUUAUUUGUAUUGUAUGUUGACAAACUGACUAUGUGUAUGUAUAAAACAUACAUGUUUUAGCAUAAAGAUAAUUAACUACAUAUUAUAAUAAUUCAUGUAGAUAAAAUGUAGGUCCAUUUAGUUCAUGUCAACAAUAUAAUUGUUUUGUUUAUCAUGUUUAUACAUGUACAUCAUAAUAACAAAUUCAUUGAUUUAGUGUAGUGAUAUUUUGUCAACUUAUUGACUAUUUAUGCAUUUAAUGUCAAAACAAACAAUGUGCAUUAUAAGAAUAAAAUCAGAAAAAUGUU
rnacentral:sRNA from 1 species